CGAAUUGCUUUGAAGCCCACAACAUUGCGUUUUCAUUUCAGCUUUGACCCACAAAUCCUCUUUUGUCUAUUUCACACUACCCAUAUCCUCUACAAGUAAAUAUUCAUUCAUGCUCGUGCUUGUGCUUGUGCUUGUACGUGAUAAAAUCAUCUCAGAUCAGAAGAGAAGAGAAGAGAUCAUCUGUUAAUGGGGGAGAACCCUGCACUAACAGGCCUCUACAUCUUCAUGGCCCUUAUCUUGCCGCCUCUGCCGCUCCUUAUAAAGUUUGGCAUCCAUAAGGAAUACUGGAUAUGUUUGGUUCUAACAGUGCUGGGUCAUAUUCCUGGAGUUAUUUAUUCAAUUUACAUCCUACUCACUAUGGAAGAUGACUAUUGACCACUGCUUGUUAUUUUCUUUACCCUCACAUUCUACUGCACUGCUUCCACUUGUCCCACUGUAGAGGAAUACAAGGGCUUGCAAUAAUGUUGCAACUCUACCAAACUAGUAUUUUGGAUUUCUUCUAUGCAAAUAGCUUCUCUUUUGUGAUGAGCAUCAAAUCUAUAAAUAAAAAUUGAGAUAAGUAUUGUAAUGCUUUGCUGUAAAUGGAUUAUUUAAUAAAUAAAAUAUUAUCAGAUGUUCAGAAUUA